UACGGGAGGCAGCAGGGGGGAAUAUUGCACAAUGGGCGAAAGCCUGAUGCAGCUAUGCCGCGUGUAUGAAGAAGGCCUUAGGGUUGUAAAGUACUUUCAUCGGGGAGGAAAAAACAAAACUAAUAAUUUUAUUUCUUGACGUUACCCGAAAAAGAAGCACCGGCUAACUCCGUGCCAGCAGCCGCGGUAAUACGGAGGGUGCUAGCGUUAAUCAGAAUUACUGGGCGUAAAGAGCACGUAGGUGGUUUUUUUAAAGUCAGAUGUGAAAUCCCUGGGCUUAACCUGGAACUGCAUUUUGAAACUGAAAUACUAGAGUAUCGUAGAGGGAGGUAGAAUUCUAGGUGUAGCGGUGAAAUGCGUAGAUAUCUGGAGGAAUACCUGUGGCGAAAGCGGCCUCCUAAACGAAUACUGACACUGAGGGUGCGAAAGCGUGGGGAGCAAAACAGGGAUUAGAUACC
rnacentral:rRNA from 1 species